GCUGGCGGCAGGCUUAACACAUGCAAGUCGAGCGGUAGCAGAUCUAGCUUGCUAGAUGCUGACGAGCGGCGGACGGGUGAGUAACGCGUAGGAACCGUGCCCAGUAGUGGGGGAGUAGCCCGGGGAAACUCGGAUUAAUACCGCAUACGCUCUACGGAGGAAAGGAGGGCUUCGGCUCUCGCUAUUGGAUGGGUCUGCGUGAGAUUAGCUAGUUGGUGAGGUAAUGGCUCACCAAGGCGACGAUCUCUAGCUGGUCUGAGAGGAUGAUCAGCCACACUGGGACUGAGACACGGCCCAGACUCCUACGGGAGGCAGCAGUGGGGAAUAUUGCACAAUGGGCGCAAGCCUGAUGCAGCCAUGCCGCGUGUGUGAAGAAGGCUUUCGGGUUGUAAAGCACUUUCAGUGGGGAGGAAGGCCUCGUAGUUAAUAGCCGCGAGGAUAGACGUUACCCACAGAAGAAGCACCGGCUAACUCCGUG
rnacentral:rRNA from 1 species